GCCCAGUGACCCCUGCACUUCCAGGGAUCCUCCAGUCCCUGCCUCCCAUCCACCUUGGUAACACCCAGAAGACAUGGGUUUCAGGGAUGCAAACUUGGGUCCUCACACCCGAACAGCAAGUGCCUUACCCCCUGAGCCGUAAGCAGUCCAGAUUUCUUUGAUCGUUAGAUGUCUUUAAUCUUAAGACACUAAAGACAAAGACAAAGGUGUUUCUGGAGAAAAACCUGCAUUCCUAAGAAUACUUUCCCAAGGUACCUGGAGUUGUUGUUAAUCCUGACCACUGUGAGAGAAAGACCAAUUCCACAGUUUUUGCGCCAAAUUGAGGCAAGCUUUAAUUAAAUACUGGCCAGGAUCCUGGAUUCUGGCCAAGUCGAUUUCUGGGUUCCCAGAAAACAGCCGUGUUUUGCAGAGGCUUGAAAGGGCAAGACCACUAGGCCACCAUAUUUUCCAUCAGGUCCAGUCAGGGCCAAGCACACAUCCUGAUGUAUUUCCUGCCUGUACACCUCCUACCCACAUCCAGUCAAGUGCUUUGGAUUUGAACAGAUUUGCCUGCUAGAGCAAAAUCUGUGGCUUGUUAAUGCCUGAGUGCCUAGCCACAGCCCCCACAGUUCCAGAAAGUUACCUGUCCUUGGGCAAGUGGGACUUGCAAGUUAACUUUGGCUCUUACAUAAUAAAGCUAGCACGGAGUCCUUUGUACUGUUGUGUUCUACCUCAAUCUUCACUACCACAGUAAGCGGGACCUCAUGCCUUCUUCGCCGUUGGAGCAGAUGCCUUCAGUUGCUUCACCGCUGCAGCCCUGAGAAUCAGUGGCCAUGAUUAAAGCUGAAUCUGCCUUAGGAAAUCCGCACCUUUCUCCCAGCUUUGGAUGAUCUGCGGUAGUGGCGCCUGUGCAGCAACCCCGCUUAGGACCCUUGUCACUUAACUUCUUGUCCCCUUAACAUUUUCCCUUGGUCCCUCACUCAGAUCAACCUCUACUUCCUGGACCAUUGGAAAAUGUUGAGCCCUUACUUGGGUAGUAGCUUGUGUCAUGGUCUUCAGGUUUUCAGAGGUAUUAUGUAGAUAAGCUUUCAAAAUUCUAAACUGCUCUAUGAACGUGUUACUAUUACUAUUUAAUUAUGUAAUUCUUCUCUAUCCCUUCCUGUCCUUCAAACUGAAGACCCUAUAAGGACAUGCUGGUUUCUUCGUCACUAACCUGUGUUUUGCGUCCACCUGGUCAUUUCCAACAAAGACUGUUAUACUGAUACAGUACAACAUGUGUACGCAGACUUACCAAAAAUGGCACUGAUAAUGGUGUUGGUGUGCCCAGGAUCACCCUACGGCAAGCUAAUAGAUAACCCUGAAUCUGAGUUGGUUAUUCCUGUAUGGGAGGAAGAUGGGGACAAGUGACCACCAUCUCAUGGUCUUUCUAUGACAAGACUGUUGAGCCCCGUCAGCCUCCUGGAUGCUCACUGUGCUCUCCAAGUGCAUGGGACUCUGGGGUUUCCUCACAGAAGACACACACACAGCUCUACUCUGUAGACUCCUCACAGAGUGCUCAGCCACACUUCCUAGGAAGGACCCUGGUUGCAACCUCCUUGUGCAAUUAACACCCAUUCUCAGAAAAGUGCAGCACUGGUUCACAGCAUUGAUGAAAGAAAAGGAUAAAUAUCAAAAGAAAACCCUGCCGUAGAGGGGUGUCCCAUGGUAAAGGGGAAUGAAUGUUUCCAAUUUAUCCCUGAAAUCUGAGUCAAGAAACAGUGGCAGCUCAUCCUAAACAGUGGAAACAGAAACUCCUAAAGAUGCUAUGGUUCUGCUGGGAGCUGGAAGCAGCUUGGACAGUUGUCUACAGGACAGAAAAUUAGGUAGGUGGAGUAAACAGAAGAGAAUGCUGGGAAAAAGAAGCUGAAUCAAAGAGUCGCCAUGGUUCUCCGACUCCAGACAGACGCAGGUUAAGAUUCUCCCUGAGCCGUUUACCCUAGGCCUGGAGAAGAAACCGUGAGCCUCCUGGAUGGGCACCAUGAGGACUGAGUAAGCAGAGAUAGACACACACAUGUCCACCAGAGCUGUUUGCCUUAGGAGGGGAGAAGAAACUAUGGCCUGCCUGAUAAUGUGGUGAAGAAUACUCCUUCCCUAAACAAGAUGAACACGAACAAGCUUC